UCUUCCCUCUGGCGGCGUGCCUAAUACAUGCAAGUCGAGCGAACAGACGAGGAGCUUGCUCCUCUGACGUUAGCGGCGGACGGGUGAGUAACACGUGGAUAACCUACCUAUAAGACUGGGAUAACUUCGGGAAACCGGAGCUAAUACCGGAUAAUAUAUUGAACCGCAUGGUUCAAUAGUAAAAGACGGUUUUGCUGUCACUUAUAGAUGGAUCCGCGCCGCAUUAGCUAGUUGGUAAGGUAACGGCUUACCAAGGCAACGAUGCGUAGCCGACCUGAGAGGGUGAUCGGCCACACGGGAAGUUAGACACGGUCCAGACGCCUGCGAGACGCAGCAGUAGGGAAUCGUCCGCAAUGGGCGAAAGCCUUACGGAGCAACGCCGCGUGAGUGAUGAAAGUCUUCGGAUCGUAAAACUCUGUUAUUAGGGAAGAACAAAUGUGUAAGUAACUAUGCACGUCUUGACGGUACCUAAUCAGAAAGCCACGGCUAACUACGUG
rnacentral:rRNA from 1 species